rnacentral:rRNA from 1 species
UACGAAGGGGGCUAGCGUUGCUCGGAAUCACUGGGCGUAAAGCGCACGUAGGCGGAUCUUUAAGUCAGGGGUGAAAUCCCAAGGCUCAACCUUGGAACUGCCUUUGAUACUGGGGAUCUCGAGUCCGGAAGAGGUUGGUGGAACUGCGAGUGUAGAGGUGAAAAUUCGUAGAUAUUCGCAAGAACACCAGUGGCGAAGGCGGCCAACUGGUCCGGUACUGACGCUGAGGUGCGAAAGCGUGGGGAGCAAAC